UGGUCACCGGCUUCUACGCCGUCCGCCGGCCGAUUCUGACUACGGAUCAGAAGGUUAGGGGUUCGAGUCCCUUCGCGCGCACCA
rnacentral:tRNA from 1 species